rnacentral:rRNA from 1 species
GACGAACGCUGGCGGCGUGCUUAACACAUGCAAGUCGAACGAUGAACCCGGAGCUUGCUCCGGUGGAUUAGUGGCGAACGGGUGAGUAACACGUGAGUAACCUGCCCUUGACUCUGGGAUAACUGCGGGAAACUGUAGCUAAUACCGGAUACGACCCUCGGCGGCAUCGCCAGGGGGUGGAAAGAAUUUCGGUCAAGGAUGGACUCGCGGCCUUUCAGCUAGUUGGUGAGGUAACGGCUCACCAAGGCGACGACGGGUAGCCGGCCUGAGAGGGUGAGCGGCCGCACUGGGCCUGAGUCACGGCCAAGACUCCUACGGGAGGCAGCAGUGGGGAAUAUUGCACAAUGGGCGCAAGCCUGAUGCAGCAACGCCGCGUGCGGGAUGACGGCCUUCGGGUUGUACACCUCUUUUCGUAGGGAAGGAGCGAAAGUGACGGUACCUGCAGAAAAAGCACCGGCUAACUACGUGCCAGCCGCCGCGGUAA